AUGCGUUUUUAUAUAUCUAAAGGGGCCUAUCAACCAAUCUUAAAGCCAGAUGAGUAUGAAUUUACUGGGAUAGGGGCUGGCCGUAGGCGAUUCCAAAGUGAUUGGUUCACAAAUCAUUUUUGGUUGGAGUAUUCACCUCUAAAAAAUCGUGCCUAUUGUUUGCCUUGUUUUCUCUUCUUAAAGAAGCCUAUUGGGAAGUGUGGUUCGGACACAUUCACAGUCAGCGGAUUUGAUAAGUGGAAGAAAGUUAACAAUGGAAAAGAAUGUGCUUUUCUCAAACAUAUGGGCACUACUCCUAGCUCGGCUCACAAUUUUGCAGUUGGGUGUUAUGAAAACUUGAGAAACAGAAUUAAUCAUGUUGAUGAGGUGAUGAAAAAGCAAACUAAGCAGAGGGUUCUUGAUGCAAGACUAAGGCUAAAGACUUCCAUUGAUGCCAUGAGGUAA
rnacentral:rRNA from 1 species